UACGAAGGGAGCUAGCGUUGCUCGGAAUCACUGGGCGUAAAGCGCACGUAGGCGGAUUGUUAAGUCAGGGGUGAAAUCCUGGAGCUCAACUCCAGAACUGCCUUUGAUACUGAAGAUCUUGAGUUCGGGAGAGGUGAGUGGAACUGCGAGUGUAGAGGUGAAAUUCGUAGAUAUUCGCAAGAACACCAGUGGCGAAGGCGGACUCACUGGCCCGAGUACUGCGCUGAGGCACGAAAGCGUGGGGAGCAAACAGG
rnacentral:rRNA from 1 species